AUUGAACGCUGGCGGCAUGCCUUACACAUGCAAGUCGAACGGCAGCACGGGAGCCAUGCUGGCGGCGAGUGGUGAACGGGUGAGUAAUAUAUCGGAACGUGCCCAGUCGGGGGGGAUAACGCAGCGAAAGCUGUGCUAAUACCGCACACGCUCGACGGUUCAAAGCGGGGGAUCGCAAGACCUCGCGCGAUUGGAGCGUCUGUGAUCAGAUUAGCUGGUUGGUGAGGUAAAGGCUCACCAAGGCGACGAUCUGUAGCUGGUCUGAGAGGACGGCCAGCCACACUGGAACUGAGACACGGUCCAGACUCCUAAGGGAGGCAGCAGUGGGGAAUUUUGGACAAUGGGCGCAAGCCUGAUCCAGCAAUGCCGCGUGCAGGAUGAAGGCCUUCGGGUUGUAAACUGCUUUUGUACGGAACGAAACGGUGAGCUCUAAUACAGUUUGCUAAUGACGGUACCGUAAGAAUAAGCACCGGCUAACUACGUGCCAGCCGCCGCCGUAAAAC
rnacentral:rRNA from 1 species